rnacentral:rRNA from 1 species
AGUGAACGCUGGCGGUAGGCCUAACACAUGCAAGUCGAACGGCAGCACAGUAAGAGCUUGCUCUUACGGGUGGCGAGUGGCGGACGGGUGAGGAAUACAUCGGAAUCUACUUUUUCGUGGGGGAUAACGUAGGGAAACUUACGCUAAUACCGCAUACGACCUACGGGUGAAAGCAGGGGAUCUUCGGACCUUGCGCGAUUGAAUGAGCCGAUGUCGGAUUAGCUAGUUGGCGGGGUAAAGGCCCACCAAGGCGACGAUCCGUAGCUGGUCUGAGAGGAUGAUCAGCCACACUGGAACUGAGACACGGUCCAGACUCCUACGGGAGGCAGCAUUGGGGAAUAUUGGACAAUGGGCGCAAGCCUGAUCCAGCCAUACCGCGUGGGUGAAGAAGGCCUUCGGGUUUUAAAGCCCUUUUGUUGGGAAAGAAAAGCAGCAGGUUAAUACCCCGCUGUUCUGACGGUACCCAAAGAAUAAGCACCGGCUAACUUCGUG